rnacentral:rRNA from 1 species
GAUGAGCAUGCGUCCCAUUAGCUUGUUGGUAAGGUAACGGCUUACCAAGGCAACGAUGGGUAGGGGUCCUGAGAGGGAGAUCCCCCACACUGGUACUGAGACACGGACCAGACUCCUACGGGAGGCAGCAGUGAGGAAUAUUGGUCAAUGGGCGCAAGCCUGAACCAGCCAUGCCGCGUGCAGGAUGAAGCAUCUAUGGUGUGUAAACUGCUUUUGUACGAGAAGAAACACUCCUUCGUGAAGGAGCUUGACGGUAUCGUAAGAAUAAGGACCGGCUAACUCCGUGCCAGCAGCCGCGGUAAUACGGAGGGUCCAAGCGUUAUCCGGAAUCAUUGGGUUUAAAGGGUCCGUAGGCGGUUUUGUAAGUCAGUGGUGAAAGCCCAUCGCUCAACGGUGGAACGGCCAUUGAUACUGCAAGACUUGAAUUAUUGGGAAGCAACUAGAAUAUGUAGUGUAGCGGUGAAAUGCUUAG